UCAUAACACCCCAUGCUCGCGUGGAGCUCUGUACCCAACCGACAGACACACUUCCUCGGCUUAGAAUUACGGUAGGAACAGCUAAAUAUAACG